rnacentral:rRNA from 1 species
GACGAACGCUGGCGGCGUGCCUAACACAUGCAAGUCGAACGAGGUCCAUCCUUCGGGAGAAGACCUAGUGGCGAACGGGUGAGUAACACGUGAAGAACCUGCCCCGAAGACCGGGAUAACCCUCCGAAAGGAGAGCUAAUACCGGAUCCCCCACCGAACCGCAUGGUUUGGUGAGGAAAUGGAUUCCGCUUCGGGAGGGCCUCGCGGCCUAUCAGCUAGUUGGUGGGGUAACGGCCCACCAAGGCAUCGACGGGUAGCUGGUCUGAGAGGACGAUCAGCCACACUGGGACUGAGACACGGCCCAGACUCCUACGGGAGGCAGCAGUGGGGAAUCUUGCGCAAUGGGCGAAAGCCUGACGCAGCAACGCCGCGUGAGGGAUGACGGCCUUCGGGUUGUAAACCUCUUUCAGCAGGGAAGAAGCGAAAGUGACGGUACCUGCAGAAGAAGCACCGGCUAACUACGUGCCAGCCGC